rnacentral:rRNA from 1 species
GACGGAAGGUGCAAGCGUUGCUCGGAAUCACUGGGCGUAAAGGGUGCGUAGGCGGCCGCGCAAGUCUGGCGUGAAAGCCCCGGGCUCAGCCCGGGAAGGGCGCUAGAAACUGCGAGGCUCGAGUGCCGGAGGGGAGAGUGGAAUUCCCAGUGUAGCGGUGAAAUGCGUAGAUAUUGGGAAGAACACCGGAGGCGAAGGCGGCUCACUGGGGCUUUUCUGACGCUGAGGAACGAAAGCCAGGGGAGCGAACGGG